rnacentral:ribozyme from 12 species
UUGCUUUUUGUGUCCACCUUUAUUUUUCUUUCCCAUUUUCCAAAUCCUUCUUGUUCUAUGCACACACUUUGGAAUAUGUUUUGUCAAAACAGAGAGGAUUCUCCCAACU